GACGAACGCUGGCGGCGUGCUUAACACAUGCAAGUCGAACGGAAAGGCCCUGCUUUUGUGGGGUGCUCGAGUGGCGAACGGGUGAGUAACACGUGAGUAACCUGCCCUUGACUUUGGGAUAACUUCAGGAAACUGGGGCUAAUACCGGAUAGGAGCUCCUGCUGCAUGGUGGGGGUUGGAAAGUUUCGGCGGUUGGGGAUGGACUCGCGGCUUAUCAGCUUGUUGGUGGGGUAGUGGCUUACCAAGGCUUUGACGGGUAGCCGGCCUGAGAGGGUGACCGGCCACAUUGGGACUGAGAUACGGCCCAGACUCCUACGGGAGGCAGCAGUGGGGAAUAUUGCACAAUGGGCGGAAGCCUGAUGCAGCAACGCCGCGUGCGGGAUGACGGCCUUCGGGUUGUAAACCGCUUUCGCCUGUGACGAAGCGUGAGUGACGGUAAUGGGUAAAGAAGCACCGGCUAACUACGUGCCAGCAGCCGCGGUGAUACGUAGGGUGCGAGCGUUGUCCGGAUUUAUUGGGCGUAAAGGGCUCGUAGGUGGUUGAUCGCGUCGGAAGUGUAAUCUUGGGGCUUAACCCUGAGCGUGCUUUCGAUACGGGUUGACUUGAGGAAGGUAGGGGAGAAUGGAAUUCCUGGUGGAGCGGUGGAAUGCGCAGAUAUCAGGAGGAACACCAGUGGCGAAGGCGGUUCUCUGGGCCUUUCCUGACGCUGAGGAGCGAAAGCGUGGGGAGCGAACAGGCUUAGAUACCCUGGUAGUCCACGCUGUAAACGGUGGGUACUAGGUGUGGGGUCCAUUCCACGGGUUCCGUGCCGUAGCUAACGCUUUAAGUACCCCGCCUGGGGAGUACGGCCGCAAGGCUAAAACUCAAAGGAAUUGACGGGGCCCCGCACAAGCGGCGGAGCAUGCGGAUUAAUUCGAUGCAACGCGUAGAACCUUACCUGGGUUUGACAUGGAUCGGGAGUGCUCAGAGAUGGGUGUGCCUCUUUUGGGGUCGGUUCACAGGUGGUGCAUGGCUGUCGUCAGCUCGUGUCGUGAGAUGUUGGGUUAAGUCCCGCAACGAGCGCAACCCUUGUUCACUGUUGCCAGCACGUUAUGGUGGGGACUCAGUGGAGACCGCCGGGGUCAACUCGGAGGAAGGUGGGGGUGACGUCAAGUCAUCAUGCCCCUUAUGUCCAGGGCUUCACGCAUGCUACAAUGGCUGGUACAGAGAGUGGCGAGCCUGUGAGGGUGAGCGAAUCUCGGAAAGCCGGUCUCAGUUCGGAUUGGGGUCUGCAACUCGACCUCAUGAAGUCGGAGUCGCUAGUAAUCGCAGAUCAGCAACGCUGCGGUGAAUACGUUCCCGGGGCU
rnacentral:rRNA from 1 species